GACGAACGCUGGCGGCGUGCUUAACACAUGCAAGUCGAACGGAAAGGCCCUGCUUUUGUGGGGUGCUCGAUUGGCGAACGGGUGAGUAACACGUGAGUAACCUGCCCUUGACUUUGGGAUAACUUCAGGAAACUGGGGCUAAUACCGGAUAGGAGCUCCUGCUGCAUGGUGGGGGUUGGAAAGUUUCGGCGGUUGGGGAUGGACUCGCGGCUUAUCAGCUUGUUGGUGGGGUAGUGGCUUACCAAGGCUUUGACGGGUAGCCGGCCUGAGAGGGUGACCGGCCACAUUGGGACUGAGAUACGGCCCAGACUCCUACGGGAGGCAGCAGUGGGGAAUAUUGCACAAUGGGCGGAAGCCUGAUGCAGAAACGCCGCGUGCGGGAUGACGGCCUUCGGGUUGUAAACCGCUUUCGCCUGUGACGAAGCGUGAGUGACGGUAAUGGGUAAAGAAGCACCGGCUAACUACGUG
rnacentral:rRNA from 1 species